rnacentral:rRNA from 1 species
UACGAAGGGGGGCUAGCGUUGCUCGGAAUGACUGGGCGUAAAGGGCGCGUAGGCGGCUUGCACAGUCAGGCGUGAAAUUCCUGGGCUCAACCUGGGGGACUGCGCUUGAGACGUGUGGGCUUGAGUGGGGAAGAGGGUCGUGGAAUUCCCAGUGUAGAGGUGAAAUUCGUAGAUAUCGGGAGGAACACCAGUGGCGAAGGCGACUUUCUGGCCUGUUCUUGACGCUGAGGCGCGAAAGCUAGGGGAGCAAACGGG